GACGAAGGGGGCUAGCGUUGUUCGGAAUUACUGGGCGUAAAGCGAGUGUAGGUGGUUGUCCAAGUUGGAUGUGAAAGCCUUGAGCUCAACUCAAGAAAUGCAUUCAGGACUGGGCGGCUAGAGGACCGGAGAGGAUAGUGGAAUUCCCAGUGUAGUGGUGAAAUACGUAGAGAUUGGGAAGAACACCAGUGGCGAAGGCGGACUAUCUGGACGGUUUCUGACACUAAGACUCG
rnacentral:rRNA from 1 species